UACGGAGGGUCCAAGCGUUAUUCGGAUUUAUUGGGUUUAAAGGGUGCGUAGGCGGUUCAGUAAGUUAGAGGUGAAAUCCCGUGGCUCAACCACGGACCUGCCUCUGAUACUGCUGGGCUAGAGAUUGGUUGCUGUGGGCGGAAUGUGUGGUGUAGCGGUGAAAUGCUUAGAGAUCACACAGAAUAUCGAUUGCGAAGGCAGCUCACAAAGCCAAGAUUGACGCUGAGGCACGAAAGUGUGGGGAUCAAACAGGAUUAGA
rnacentral:rRNA from 1 species